UGAUGGAAGAAGAACAUUUUUCUUUAAUCUCAGAGCUUUUACAGUGUAAUCUGGAGAACAUGUUAUUUUACAAUCUGAUACUGAAUUCUUGGGACUAUGUUGUAGAGUGUGACAAAUAACCUUCAAUUUCACCUCAUGAGGACUUUGAAGAGAAAAACCUCUUAAUCAAUACACAAAACAACCUUCAAUAUCUUUCAAAUUCAAACACUACAAAUGUCAUGAAACAUUUCAGUUAAAAUAGCAUAUGCAGAAAUUGUCUUCUUUUAGGUCAUUUAAAACAAAUUAUAAAGGAUAUUUUACCCAAAAAGCCCCAUCCACCUAGUUGCCUUUUUCUAACCAGUUUAAUUGGGCAAACAUGUGUUAUGUUAAUAGUAGAGGCAAACAAAGACCAACUCCUUAUUUAAACAUUAUAAUAAGACUAACAAAGUCAUAUUAACAUGCAUGUCACAGCCCCCUUUUCUGCUGUAUAUAAAGACAGAUUUCAGUUGCAGAUUUUGGAGUAACGGAUCAUCCAGACUUAACUUCGAAACAUCCAUGAUGAAGAAGGCCGUGCUUUUGUGUUUUGUCCUGUUUGCGGUCAUUUCUGUGACCACCGCUACUCAAUGCAAGAAACAGAUUCAUGGUUCCAAAGUAUGUCGCGAUAAGAUUGAUAAUAAUACGUACAAACCUGGAGAGAACUGGGUGAACAGCAAAUGUCAGUUUUGCACAUGCCUGCCUAGAGCUAUGAGAUGCUGUAUGGG